rnacentral:lncRNA from 1 species
GGCGAUCCAAGCAAGGAGCGGCAAGCUGUUGUCCUUUUCCUCGUUGUGGUAGCUUUGUUCUUUUGCUCUUUGCAAUGUAUGUAUUGCUGCUGCUCGUUCUUUGGGUCCCUGCCACGUUUAUGAGCUGUAAUGCUCACCCGGAAGGUGUGCAGCUUCACUUCUCAAGCCAGCAAGGUUACUGAACCAAGGAAACUCAGGACGAGUCACUUUUACGAACUGUAACACUCACUGUGAAGAUCUGCAGCUAUACUCCUGAAGCCAGCGAGACCAGGAACACACCUGGAGGAAGAAACUGCAGACAUGUGUGAAGAACAACUCCGGAGAAGCUGCCCUUAAGAACUGUAGCACUCACUGCGAGGGUCCGUGGGGCUUCUUUCUUGAAGUCAGCGAGGCCAAGAACCCACCAUUUCUGGACGAGGGAGGGCUAAAUUGACAUAUAAAACAAGGUUUACAGUCUUUUGCAUGCAAAUAUUUCUGUCCGUUCUGAAAUGGAAAGUGGAAAUCCCUUAGCAGCUGGGCAACAGGGAGAGAGACAAGAACUCUUUUCAGGUCAUCAAUAACCUUGGUCCUUUGGAACUGAUUCUUAAUACUCCUAGCCAUCAUAGGGUUCAUCAUG